UACGUAGGUGGCAAGCGUUAUCCGGAAUUAUUGGGCGUAAAGCGCGCGCAGGCGGCUUCUUAAGUCUGAUGUGAAAGCCCACGGCUCAACCGUGGAGGGUCAUUGGAAACUGGGAGGCUUGAGUGCAGAAGAGGAGAGCGGAAUUCCACGUGUAGCGGUGAAAUGCGUAGAGAUGUGGAGGAACACCAGUGGCGAAGGCGGCUCUCUGGUCUGUAACUGACGCUGAGGCGCGAAAGCGUGGGGAGCGAACAGG
rnacentral:rRNA from 1 species